AUGACGAACACAAAGGGAAAGAGGAAAGGCACCCGGUAUAUGUUCUCUAGGCCUUUUAGGAAACAUAGAGUUCUUCCUUUGGCCACAUACAUUCAAAUCUACAAGAAGGGUGAUAUUGUGGACAUCGAGGGAAUGGGCACUGUUCAAAAAGGAAUGCCCCAUAAGUGCUACCGUGGCAAAACCGGAAGAGUCUACAAUGUCACCCAGCAUGCCGUGGGCAUUGUAAACAAGCAAAUCAGGGCAAGGUUCCGGCCAAGAGGAUCAAUGAGCAGACUGAGCACAUCAAGCACUCAAAGAGCAGGGAGAGCUUCCGGAAGCGGGUGAAGGAGAAUGAUCAGAAGAAAAAGGAAGCCAAAGAGAAGGGCACCUGGGUGCAGCUGAAGCCCCAGCCUGUGCCACCCAGAGAAGCACACUUUGUGAGGACUAACAGAAAAGAGCCUGAGCUGUUGGAGCCCACUCCAUAGGAAUUCAUGGCCUAA
rnacentral:lncRNA from 1 species